rnacentral:rRNA from 1 species
AUGAGGGAAGGGACUAGGUGUGGUAAUGAAUCUUUUUAUAUCAUUUGGUUGCUCUCAAUGUUUCAGAAAGCCAUGCUUACUAGUGCAAAAUCUAAAGCGCAUGAGGCGUUCAAGAACGGGAACUAUUAUCUUGCAGCAAGAAUAUACAAAGAGGCAAUGGCACUUGACCCUGGUAAUGCAACCUUGCUUUCAAAUAGGAGCCUAUGCUGGCUCUGCCUCGGUGAUGCAAAGAACGCCUUGAAUGAUGCUCAAGCUUGCAUUAUGAUGCGACCUGGCUGGCCAAAGGCCUCAUAUCGUCAAGGAACUGCUCUAAUGUUACUGAAGGACUAUGAAAAGGCAUGUGGUGCAUUUCUUGAUGGUCUUAAAUUGGAGCCUGGGAACAUAGAGAUGGAAGAUGGAUUACGGCAGGCUUUGGAAUCCUUGAAGAUAUAUCGCAGUAGUCGUGGGCAAGACUAG